UCCGUAGGUGAACCUGCGGAAGGAUCAUUACAGUAGUCGCCCGGGUUGCCGCGAGGCCUCCCGGGUAACCUACCACCCUUUGUUUAUUACACUUUGUUGCUUUGGCAAGCCUGCCCUCGGGCUGCUGGCUCCGGCCGGCGAGCGCUUGCCAGAGGACCUAAACUCUGUUUGUCUAUAUUGUCUGAGUACUAUAUAAUAGUUAAAACCUUCAACAACGGACCUCUUGGUUCUGGCAUCGAUGAAGAACGCAGCGAAAUGCGAUAAGUAAUGUGAAUUGCAGAAUUCAGUGAAACAUCGAAUCUUUGAACGCACAUUGCGCCCCCUGGUAUUCCGGGGGGCAUGCCUGUCCGAGCGUCAUUACAACCCUCAAGCUCAGCUUGGUGUUGGGCCCCGCCGCCCCGGCGGGCCCUAAAGUCAGUGGCGGUGCCGUCCGGCUCCGAGCGUAGUAAUUCCUCUCGCUCUGGAGGUCCGGUCGUGUGCUUGCCAGCAACCCCCAAUUUUUUUCAGGUUGACCUCGGAUCAGGUAGGGAUACCCGCUGAACUUAAGCAUAUCAAUAAGCGGAGGAA
rnacentral:rRNA from 1 species